UUCUCCCAGGUCUGGAAGGCUCGUCUUCCCCCUAAGAUUAAAAUCUUUUUAUGGCAAGCCUUUCGGCGCCGGCUGCCUUCGGCUGAUCAAAUUCGCAAGAGAAAUGGCCCGGGCUCCCAGUUCUGUGCUCUGUGUGGUGCUGUUGAGGACACUGAGCAUAUCUUUUUUCAUUGUCACCUGGCUAAGCUCAUUUGGAGUUGCGUUCGGGAUUGGUUAAACGUCUCUUGGGCCCCUGCCUCCUUUGCGGAGCUGCGGGCUUUGGCCCAUGACCUUUCGGGCGUCUCUCGGCGUCUCUUUUGGGUGGGCUUGGGAGCGAUGUGCUGGUCCCUUUGGACGACUAGGAACAAAUUUACUAUUGAACAUGUGUUUCCUGCUAAACCUGCUGACUGCUUAUUUCAAUCAUGUGCCCUCCUGCAGCAGUGGAAAUCAUUGACUAAGGACGACGACCAUGAAGCGUUCACUGCGUUAACCUCCAAAAUUCGGACGACGGCGUCUCUUCUUUGCAGACAAGCGCAGGGUGACUAA
rnacentral:rRNA from 1 species